GGGAUUUAGGGAAAAACCAAGACAUGAUGGUGGUCAUCAAUUAGGAGUGCUGGCACACCCCAAUCAGCCCGUUAGGCACAUUGUUUGGGAGUUAGGAUCCUUUAAAGAUCAAAUUCAGACAUGAGCAAAAACUUGGAUGUUGCCAUGUUCUAAAUUAACUCAAACAUAUAGAAGGGAGUAGGGGGUAGGGAUUCACAAUAAGAACAUAUGCAAGAAAAGAAUAUGCAUAGUUAAUAUUAAUCACUAGGCAUGGACAAUAAAGUAAAUAGGAUUGCAGAAGCUGUAAAUAAAUAUAUUGGGAUGAUGGCUAAAACUAAAUUAGAACAUACUAGUUUCAGGGAAACAAGGAAGUAAAAGUAGAAGUCUUGUAAAGCCAAAUUGCAAGCAAACAAUCCAAAAGAUCUCAGCAGAGAGUAAGAUGUUGAAAGAGUAUUGAAAUUGAGAGUGUGAGGUGAGUAAUGUAAACUUGGGGUUAUCUUCAACUGCAGGAGGGUUGUGCCUUUUAUAGUGCAGAAACAAAGUAAGAAAAGGUAAGAAAAUAGCAUUGAAAUCAAUCUCCCUUUAAUUAAGGGAUUCUGAUUACAAACGGAUAAAAGGAAAUUAAGAAAAGAGUUGAUCAAAAUCUUUUCAAAAGCAGUAUAAUAAGGGAAAAUAAACAAGGGUUUAUUAAAGGAGAAAGUGCAGUGGUACACAGUUUGUGAAAAAUAAGGAAAGAGAAUCAAACAAACAGCAGCAAGCUUUGUUCGAAUGAAU
rnacentral:lncRNA from 1 species